CGGCGAGUGAAGCGGCAAUAGCUCAAAUUUGAAAUCUGGCUCUUUCAGGGUCCGAGUUGUAAUUUGUAGAGGAUGUUUCGGGCAACGUUUCGGUUUAAAUUCCUUGGAACAGGAUGUCAUAGAGGGUGAGAGUCCCGUCUUGAUCCGUAUACCGCGUCCAUGUGAAACUCCUUCGACGAGUCGAGUUGUUUGGGAAUGCAGCUCAAAAUGGGAGGUAAAUUUCUUCUAAAGCUAAAUAUUGGCCAGAGACCGAUAGCGCACAAGUAGAGUGAUCGAAAGAUGAAAAGCACUUUGAAAAGAGAGUUAAACAGUAUGUGAAAUUGUUGAAAGGGAAGCGCUUGCAACCAGACUUGUGUUUAACGGUUCCACCACUGUUUUCAGUGGCCUAUUCCGUUAUAUCCAGGCCAGCAUCGGUUUGGGUGGUUAGUUAAAGGCCGUGGGAAUGUAUCUACCCUUCGGGGUCGACUUAUAGCCCUUGGUGUAAUGUGACCUACCUAGACCGAGGCACGCGCAUCUGCUCGGAUGCUGGCGUAAUGGUUGUAAGCGACCCGUCUUGAAACACGGACCAAGGAGUCUAACAUCUAUGCGAGUGUUCGGGUGUCAAACCCCUACGCGUAAUGAAAGUGAACGGAGGUAAGAACCCGUAAGGGUGCAUUGUCGACCGAUCCUGAUGUCUUCGGAUGGAUUUGAGUAAGAGCAUAGCUGUUGGGACCCGAAAGAUGGUGAACUAUGCCUGAAUAGGGUGAAGCCAGAGGAAACUCUGGUGGAGGCUCGCAGCGGUUCUGACGUGCAAAUCGAUCGUCAAAUUUGGGUAUAGGGGCGAAAGACUAAUCGAA
rnacentral:rRNA from 1 species